rnacentral:rRNA from 1 species
AACGAACGCUGGCGGCGUGCCUAACACAUGCAAGUCGAACGAUGCCGUCGGGUAUUGUGGCUCACGCGUACGUAACUUUCGGGAACCUGCCCGUCGGGUGAGUAUAACGCGCCGAACGUGCUGCUUACACAGGGAAAGGUCCUGGAAACAAAGAUUUAUCGCCUUUGGAUGGGCCCGCGUGGGAUUCGCUAGUUGGUAAGGUAAAAGCCUACCAAGGGGACGAUCCAUAGCUGGUCUGAGAGGAUGAUCAGCCACACUGGGACUGAGACACGGCCCAGACUCCUACGGGAGGCAGCAGUGGGGAAUAUUGGACAAUGGGCGGAAGUCUGAUGCAGCGACGCCGCGUGAGUGAUGAAGGAAUUAGGGUUGUAAAGCUCUGUUCCACGGGAAGAUAAUGACAGUACCGUGAGAAUAAGCUCCGGCUAACUCCGUG